GACGAACGCUGGCGGCGUGCUUAACACAUGCAAGUCGAACGGAAAGGCCCUGCUUUUGUGGGGUGCUCGAGUGGCGAACGGGUGAGUAACACGUGAGUAACCUGCCCUUGACUUUGGGAUAACUUCAGGAAACUGGGGCUAAUACCGGAUAGGAGCUCCUGCUGCAUGGUGGGGGUUGGAAAGUUUCGGCGGUUGGGGAUGGACUCGCGGCUUAUCAGCUUGUUGGUGGGGUAGUGGCUUACCAAGGCUUUGACGGGUAGCCGGCCUGAGAGGGUGACCGGCCACAUUGGGACUGAGAUGCGGCCGAGACUCCUACGGGAGGCAGGAGUGGGGAAUAUUGCACAAUGGGCGGAAGCCUGAUGCAGCAACGCCGCGUGCGGGAUGACGGCUUUCGGGGUGUAAACCGCUUUCGCCUGAGACGAAGCGUGAGUGACGGUAAUGGGUAAAGAAGCACCGGCUAACUACG
rnacentral:rRNA from 1 species